UACGUAGGUGGCAAGCGUUGUUCGGAAUUAUUGGGCGUAAAGGGCGCGUAGGCGGUUUGUUAAGUCAGCUGUGAAAGCCCGGGGCUCAACCCCGGAGAGUCGGCUGAUACUGGCAAACUUGAGUACGGAAGAGGUAGCUGGAAUUCCCGGUGUAGAGGUGAAAAUUCGUAGAUAUCGGGAGGAACACCAGUGGCGAAGGACGGCCGGUCUGGA
rnacentral:rRNA from 1 species